UACGGAGGGGGCUAGCGUUGUUCGGAAUUACUGGGCGUAAAGCGCACGUAGGCGGGCUGGAAAGUCAGGGGUGAAAUCCCGGGGCUCAACCCCGGAACUGCCUUUGAAACUUCCAGUCUUGAGGUCGAGAGAGGUGAGUGGAAUUCCGAGUGUAGAGGUGAAAUUCGUAGAUAUUCGGAGGAACACCAGUGGCGAAGGCGGCUCACUGGCUCGAUACUGACGCUGAGGUGCGAAGGCGUGGGGAGCAAACAGG
rnacentral:rRNA from 1 species